AUGGGGGCUCCGCGUGGGGCCCUGGCCCAGGACCUGACCUCCUCCGUGGCUGCAGCCCGGCCCACUGCUGCCCCGACCCACUGCUGCCCCGGUGAUUCCCGCAUAGUCAGCUGCAGGAAGUUGGUGGCCACAAAGAACAAGAAAAAGUUCCUGGAGUCAGUCAACUGUAGGCUCCAACUCGUUAUGAAAGGUGGAAAGUACGAGCUGGGGUACAAGCAGACUCUGAAGAUGAUCAGACAAGGCAAAGUGAAAUUGGUCAUUCUCAUAACUGCCCAGCUAUGGAAUGUUGGCCAAAAUUGGUGUCCAUCACUACGGUGGCAAUAAUAUUGAACUGGGCACAGCAUGUGGAAAAUACUACAGAGUGUGCACAAUGGCUAUCAUUGAUCCAGGUGAUUCUGACAUCAUUAGAAGCACGCCAGAACAGAUUGGUGAAAAGUAAACCAUGCAAAAUUUUCCUUUAAUAAAAUUUGCCCAAGCUUGUUUAAAAAAUGAAAGAAA